ACCAGAGAUUAUAGUCAAAAUCUUCUUCCCCUAGAUCAAUGAUCUCAUAGAUCUCAUCCUAGAUCAGGUUUACAUCAACGAAUUGGUCCUUUUUGUUUUCAAGAUUGAAAAUAUUAAGAUCAAUGAUCAUGUUUCCAAAUGAGAGCUUCAUGAGUCCAUUGCGAUAAUUGAUUAGAGCAUUGAUGGUUGCUAAGAAUGG
rnacentral:lncRNA from 1 species